rnacentral:rRNA from 1 species
GACGAACGCUAGCGGCGUGCUUAACACAUGCAAGUCGAACGGUAAGGCCUUCGGGUACACGAGUGGCGAACGGGUGAGUAACACGUGGGUGAUCUGCCCCCUACUCUGGGAUAAGCCUGGGAAACUGGGUCUAAUACCGGAUAUGACCUCCUUCUGCAUGGUUGGUGGUGGAAAGUUUUUUCGGUAGGGGAUGAGCCCGCGGCCUAUCAGCUUGUUGGUGGGGUAAUGGCCUACCAAGGCGACGACGGGUAGCCGGCCUGAGAGGGCGACCGGCCACACUGGGACUGAGACACGGCCCAGACUCCUACGGGAGGCAGCAGUGGGGAAUAUUGCACAAUGGGCGAAAGCCUGAUGCAGCGACGCCGCGUGGGGGAUGACGGCCUUCGGGUUGUAAACCCCUUUCAGUCGGGACGAAGCGAGAGUGACGGUACCGAUAGAAGAAGCACCGGCCAACUACGUGCCAGCCGCCGCCGUAAGAC